AAAUUGAAGAGUUUGAUCAUGGCUCAGAUUGAACGCUGGCGGCAGGCCUAACACAUGCAAGUCGAGCGGUAGCACAGAGAGCUUGCUCUCGGGUGACGAGCGGCGGACGGGUGAGUAAUGUCUGGGAAACUGCCUGAUGGAGGGGGAUAACUACUGGAAACGGUAGCUAAUACCGCAUAACGUCGCAAGACCAAAGUGGGGGACCUUCGGGCCUCAUGCCAUCAGAUGUGCCCAGAUGGGAUUAGCUAGUAGGUGGGGUAACGGCUCACCUAGGCGACGAUCCCUAGCUGGUCUGAGAGGAUGACCAGCCACACUGGAACUGAGACACGGUCCAGACUCCUACGGGAGGCAGCAGUGGGGAAUAUUGCACAAUGGGCGCAAGCCUGAUGCAGCCAUGCCGCGUGUGUGAAGAAGGCCUUCGGGUUGUAAAGCACUUUCAGCGGGGAGGAAGGCGUUAAGGUUAAUAACCUUGGCGAUUGACGUUACCCGCAGAAGAAGCACCGGCUAACUCCGUGCCAGCAGCCGCGGUAAUACGGAGGGUGCAAGCGUUAAUCGGAAUUACUGGGCGUAAAGCGCACGCAGGCGGUCUGUCAAGUCGGAUGUGAAAUCCCCGGGCUCAACCUGGGAACUGCAUUCGAAACUGGCAGGCUAGAGUCUUGUAGAGGGGGGUAGAAUUCCAGGUGUAGCGGUGAAAUGCGUAGAGAUCUGGAGGAAUACCGGUGGCGAAGGCGGCCCCCUGGACAAAGACUGACGCUCAGGUGCGAAAGCGUGGGGAGCAAACAGGAUUAGAUACCCUGGUAGUCCACGCCGUAAACGAUGUCGAUUUGGAGGUUGUGCCCUUGAGGCGUGGCUUCCGGAGCUAACGCGUUAAAUCGACCGCCUGGGGAGUACGGCCGCAAGGUUAAAACUCAAAUGAAUUGACGGGGGCCCGCACAAGCGGUGGAGC
rnacentral:rRNA from 1 species